rnacentral:snRNA from 1 species
AUGCUCGCUUUGGAAGCACAUAUACUAAAGCACAUAUACUAAAAUUGGAAUGAUACAGAGAUUAGCAUGGCCCCUGCAUAAGGAUGACACAUAAAUUCACGAAGCGUUCCAUAUUUUU